rnacentral:rRNA from 1 species
GCUGUCGUCAGCUCGUGUCGUGAGAUGUUGGGUUAAGUCCCGUAACGAGCGCAACCCUUGUCCUUAGUUACCAGCACAUUAUGGUGGGCACUCUAAGGAGACUGCCGGUGACAAACCGGAGGAAGGUGGGGAUGACGUCAAGUCAUCAUGGCCCUUACGGCCUGGGCUACACACGUGCUACAAUGGUCGGUACAGAGGGUUGCCAAGCCGCGAGGUGGAGCUAAUCUCACAAAACCGAUCGUAGUCCGGAUCGCAGUCUGCAACUCGACUGCGUGAAGUCGGAAUCGCUAGUAAUCGCGAAUCAGAAUGUCGCGGUGAAUACGUUCCCGGGCCUUGUACACACCGCCCGU